rnacentral:rRNA from 1 species
UACGGGGGGGAGCAAGCGUUGUUCGGAUUUACUGGGCGUAAAGGGCGCGUAGGCGGUCAGCACAAGUCAGUUGUGAAAUCUCCGGGCUUAACUCGGGAAAGGUCAACUGAUACUGUGCGACUAGAGUGCGGAAGGGGCAACUGGAAUUCUCGGUGUAGCGGUGAAAUGCGUAGAUAAUCGAGAGGAACACCUGCGGCGAAGGCGGGUUGCCUG